UUAAGCAUAUCAAUAAGCGGAGGAAAAGAAACCAACAGGGAUUGCUCUAGUAACGGCGAGUGAAGCAGCAAUAGCUCAAAUUUGAAAUCUGGCGUCUUCGACGUCCGAGUUGUAAUUUGUAGAGGAUGCUUCUGAGUAACCACCGACCUAAGUUCCUUGGAACAGGACGUCAUAGAGGGUGAGAAUCCCGUAUGCGGUCGGAAAGGUGCUCUAUACGUAGCUCCUUCGACGAGUCGAGUUGUUUGGGAAUGCAGCUCUAAAUGGGAGGUAAAUUUCUUCUAAAGCUAAAUAUUGGCCAGAGACCGAUAGCGCACAAGUAGAGUGAUCGAAAGAUGAAAAGCACUUUGGAAAGAGAGUUAAAAAGCCCGUGAAAUUGUUAAAAGGGAAGGGAUUGCAACCAGACUUGCUCGCGGUGUU
rnacentral:rRNA from 1 species